AAACAACAACAACAACAACAAGGAGCUGGUCCACUUUAUUCAACACUCAAUCAAGACGAUGAUACUCCUCCUCCUGUCCCUCCUGCCUAUAAUCCUGAGGGAGUACAGGAAUACUCUGUAUUGAAGAGAGAGGGAGAGAAUAAGGGUCAACAGGGUCUGUCUACUGGUGUUACUGGACUAUAUUCAACCAUUGAUAAAAACACCAACAACCAGGUGUUAGUUGAUGAAUCAGCUCAUAAGCCAGUGUAUGCUGAUCUGGCUAUUGCUGCUAAAGGGAAGAGACCACAGGCAGCACCAACACAA